UACAGAGGUCUCAAGCGUUGUUCGGAAUCACUGGGCGUAAAGGGUGCGUAGGCGGUGUAGAAAGUCAGAUGUGAAAUCCGGAGGCUCAACCUCCGAAUUGCAUCCGAAACUUCUACGCUAGAGGGUUGUAGAGGAGCUUGGAAUUCUCGGUGUAGCAGUGAAAUGCGUAGAUAUCGAGAAGAACGCUCGCAGCGAAAGCGGGGCUCUGGGCAACAUCUGACGCUGAUGCACGAAGGCUAGGGGAGCAAACGGG
rnacentral:rRNA from 1 species